CUGGCUCAGGAUGAACGCUGGCGGCGUGCCUAACACAUGCAAGUUGAGCGAUUUACUUCGGUAAAGCGCUGGCGGCGUGCCUAACACAUGCAAGUUGAGCGAUUUACUUCGGUAAAGAGCGGCGGACGGGUGAGUAACGCGUGGGUAACCUACCCUGUACACACGGAUAACAUACCGAAAGGUAUGCUAAUACGGGAUAAUAUAUUUGAGAGGCAUCUCUUAAAUAUCAAAGGUGAGCCAGUACAGGAUGGACCCGCGUCUGAUUAGCUAGUUGGUAAGGUAACGGCUUACCAAGGCGACGAUCAGUAGCCGACCUGAGAGGGUGAUCGGCCACAUUGGAACUGAGACACGGUCCAAACUCCUACGGGAGGCAGCAGUGGGGAAUAUUGCACAAUGGGCGAAAGCCUGAUGCAGCAACGCCGCGUGAGUGAUGAAGGCCUUCGGGUCGUAAAACUCUGUCCUCAAGGAAGAUAAUGACGGUACUUGAGGAGGAAGCCCCGGCUAACUACGUGCCAGCAGCCGCGGUAAUACGUAGGGGGCUAGCGUUAUCCGGAUUUACUGGGCGUAAAGGGUGCGUAGGCGGUCUUUCAAGUCAGGAGUGAAAGGCUACGGCUCAACCGUAGUAAGCUCUUGAAACUGGGAGACUUGAGUGCAGGAGAGGAGAGUGGAAUUCCUAGUGUAGCGGUGAAAUGCGUAGAUAUUAGGAGGAACACCAGUUGCGAAGGCGGCUCUCUGGACUGUAACUGACGCUGAGGCACGAAAGCGUGGGGA
rnacentral:rRNA from 1 species